rnacentral:rRNA from 1 species
CCCUUAGAUGUUCUGGGCCGCACGCGCGCUACAAUGAUGAAUUCAACGAGUUUAUAACCUUGGUUGAAAAGCCUGGGUAAUCUUUUGAACUUUCGUCGUGAUGGGGCUAGACCCUUGCAAUUAUUGGUCUCCAACGAGGAAUUCCUAGUAAACGCAAGUCAUCAGCUUGCAUUGAUUACGUCCCUGCCCUUUGUACACACCGCCCGUCGCACCUACCGAUUGAAUGGUCCGGUGAAAUCUUCGGAUUGAGACUUUGAUUUCUUCACGGAAAACGCUGUUUUAAAAAGUUGAUUAAACCUUACCAUUUAGAGGAAGGUGAAGUCGUANCA